GACGAACGCUGGCGGCGUGCUUAACACAUGCAAGUCGAACGGAAAGGCCCUGCUUUUGUGGGGUGCUCGAGUGGCGAACGGGUGAGUAACACGUGAGUAACCUGCCCUUGACUUUGGGAUAACUUCAGGAAACAGGGGCUAAUACCGGAUAGGAGCUCCUGCUGCAUGGUGGGGGUUGGAAAGUUUCGGCGGUUGGGGAUGGACUCGCGGCUUAUCAGCUUGUUGGUGGGGUAGUGGCUUACCAAGGCUUUGACGGGUAGCCGGCCUGAGAGGGUGACCGGCCACAUUGGGACUGCGAGACGGACCAGACUCCUACGGGAGGCAGCAGUGGGGAAUAUUGCACAAUGGGCGGAAGCCUGAUGCAGCAACGCCGCGUGCGGGAUGCCGGCCUUCGGGUUGUAAACCGCUUUCGCCUGUGACGAAGCGUGAGUGACGGUAAUGGGUAAAGAAGCACCGGCUAACUAUGUG
rnacentral:rRNA from 1 species